AUUGAACGCUGGCGGCAUGCCUUACACAUGCAAGUCGAACGGCAGCACGGGAGCAAUCCUGGUGGCGAGUGGCGAACGGGUGAGUAAUAUAUCGGAACGUGCCCGGUCGUGGGGAUAACGUAGCGAAAGCUACGCUAAUACCGCAUACGAUCUACGGAUGAAAGCGGGGGAUCGCAAGACCUCGCGCGAUUGGAGCGGCCGAUAUCAGAUUAGGUAGUUGGUGAGGUAAAGGGCUCACCAAGCCGACGAUCUGUAGCUGGUCUGAGAGGACGACCAGCCACACUGGGACUGAGACACGGCCCAGACUCCUACGGGAGCAGCAGUGGGGAAUUUUGGACAAUGGGCGCAAGCCUGAUCCAGCAAUGCCGCGUGCAGGAUGAAGGCCUCGGUGUAAC
rnacentral:rRNA from 1 species